UCCGAAACCGUUGUUUUGGCUCGAGUGGAAGUAACGCCACCUCGGCCAGCCGUUCGUUUCGUCGCCUCGCUCCGUCGUCGUCUCCAGCGCCGCCCUCGUCUGCGCCUCUCCUUUCGGUUGCUUCCCGAGGAAGUAUCAGCGGAGUCCUCCCUCGGCGAUCAUGGCCGCGGAGGCGGCGGAAGAGAAACGUCAACCAAGGACGAGGCCCAGAUCCAGGCUCAUCGUCCGCCUCGCCGGGUUCCUCGUCGCCCACAGCGUUCUCGUCAGCGUGGUGUGUUGCAUAGCGGGGUCGAUCGCUUUCCUCCUCCUCCCCUUACUGGCCAAGAACGCUUACGUCUCCGAGAACGCGCUGAUGCCAGGUUCUGCCAAUCCAAUGUUUUCUUCUCAGGACGUACUCGAAGUAAACAGAUUUGUCGUGGAAAUGAUUGAUAAAGAAAACACAAAAGCUACAGGAAUAGAAAUAGCAAAAUUGAUAGGUCAGCAGAUGGUGGAUGUGGGGUGCUGAAUUGUAUUACCACAAAUUCCAACCUCAUGCCAAUCAGUUCCAUCCUCUUCAUUUUUUCUCUUCCAUCACUAAUACUUUGGGGAUGCAAGAUAACUCUAGCUGCACAUCAUUUGGUCUCAAUUCUGUUGGAAUUAUACGAGCGCCUUGUGGUGAUGGGAAAGAAUCGAUUGUGUUGGUAACUCCUUACAAUGCAAAGAAUCUCAGACAGGAUGAAGCCUUAUCACUAGGGCUUGCCUUCUCAAUUUUCUCACUUCUUAGCAGAGUUACAUGGCUUGCAAAGGAUAUAGUUUGGUUAGCUGCAGAUUCCAGAUAUGGAGAGUAUAUAGCAGUUGAUACUUGGCUAAAAGACUACCAUAAUCCUUCUUUCCUUAGUGAUUCAGGGAAGAUAGUUGCUGGUAUAUGUUUUGAAGAAAAUAUUCACCAUUUUAUGGAUCAAUUAAAGGUUAAUGGACCAAAGUGUAAUGUUUUUAAGCGUGCUGGAACUAUCGCUGUUGCUCUUGUAUUUAAGAUCGUGGACAAGGAGGAAGAAAGAGAUUGUGUUACUAUACAUGCAGAGGCAUCUAAUGGCCAGAUGCCUAAUCUUGAUCUUAUUAGUAUUGUUCGUUAUUUGGCAGUUCACAGACAAGGUCUGCAUGUAAAGAUUGAAACCAUGCAAUCAUUACUUAAAUCUGCAUUGCUCAAGUUUAUUGGUGAAAUGCUGCAAUGGUUUGGUAAACUGGCCAAACAAUUUAAUCCAAAAUGGAAAUUUGAUAUUACAGCUGCCGAAUAUGUUGAAGGCACUGCUACUCUUGCAAGCUCAAUUUAUUAUCAGGCCAUUGGUGUGCCAACUGGGUCCCAUGGGGCUUUCCAUGAUUACCAAGUGGAUGCAGUUACUCUUGAGCUCUCCCCCAGAUUCCCUCUUAAUAAUGACAACAGUCGAUCUGCAUUUCUUCUUAGCAGUGGCAGUGAUAAAUUAGGACUUUCAGCAGAUGAAAUGAACCCAGAACCUGGAUGUGCCAGUCACACAGAAAUCAGCUCUGGAUCAUGGAAAUGGCUUCAAGCUGCAAAAGUGGUAUUCAUGAUUCACUUGUGGGGGAUCAUCGUGUCAUUGCUGCCGAGCAUUCUUUCCCAACCCCCCCUUAUAAUCCCAACAAAUCUCAUGUUAGUUUGGGCUGCAAUAGCCAUCGGAACCCUGCUGAUCUGCUACCUGGUUUUGGGCACUUGUUCCACCCAUUGUGGAUGGGAACUUCUGAAAUCUGUGAUGAUUGCUGCUGCUUCAAUGGGUCUGAGCUUAAUGUCAGUCAUAAUUUUCUCAACCGCACAGACUGGGGCCAUGCUGAUUGUUCCAAUGUGUUUGUUAGUUCAACCUCUGAGGAAGCAGGUGGAGGCAAGUGUUUGUCUCAAGUCGGCACUACUGGUGAUCUGCAAUUUAGCUCUGGCUGUGGUUGGGUUUCCAACAGUUGCAUUACUGAUAUCUAGAGGUUCGUUUGAGGAUUUUGGAAAGACAAGUAUCGGUACCUUCUGGGAAUUGUCACAGCUCUUAUGGUCAUGGAACAGCGCCACUUACCUGUACCUACUACGGAUUCAUCUACCUUGUUGGGUUCUUUGCUUGCAUAUUUUGCUCUAUCCAUGUAUUGGGAGGUCAUCCAAACCAUGAACAGUUUUUUGAAGCCGUUGAUAUUGUCAUAUUAUGGGAUCACUCAGUUGCAGAGCAAAUACUGGAGAAUUCUUGUUAUAGAAAGCCACUCAAGCUCAUUGGAAAAAUGCAUGGAGUUUUAGCAAAAGCUAUUCAUCUCGUGCCACUGAAGAAUUGUACGAAAAAGAUUUCCCUUUCAAGAUGACUCCAGAGAGAAAAAGAGGUUCUAAUUGUUCUGACAGCAUUAUUUUGAUUCGUAAUUUGACACUAACUGUUUAGAUUUUGAUAUUUGCUGAUCCAUUGCUCGCCCUUUCAACAUGUUGAAUGCCUUGGGAGGAGUUGAACAUGACCAUAUAGUUAAUUUUAUUUCUGCAAAGCAUGUCCACAAGUUUGUCAUUUGGAUACAAAGCAUGAUAACAAAAGAAUUUCGAUAUAUGCUGGAGAUUCUGUGUCACUAAUAAUAUCUCGAAACAUGUUGAAUGAUCCAGAAUAAUAUUGGAGAAACACUACAUGCAAGUAAAAAGGUCAAAUAAUUCAAGAAAAAAAAUUGAUAAUUCAGAACAUAAUGGGACAGCACCAAAGCAAUUUCCAGUUGCUUGUUGAAUUCCAAGAUCAUGUGUCUCACAUGCUGGCCUUUGCAAUGAAAAUUAAUGCUGCCUUGUUUUAGUAUUCUUCAAUCUUUAAUGAAUGAAGAAAUGCCUGUCAGUUGCAAGGAUCUUUGGCUACUGCACUCAUGUUGACCACAGAGAUUCUGAGUCCUGCCAAUCCAACCCACACAUAGGACCACAAUUAAUGCUCCAUAUUUCUAGUACCUUUAAAUUUUGAGGUGUCAGAAGAAGCAUGUCCAUUUAAUCUGUCUCUUACACACUCCAUCUUUAUAGUUCAUAAAAGCAUGACGGCAUGAUGAUAGGAUAAUUGUCAUUGCAUAACCUAAUCUAGACUUUAAUCAGGAUGAGAAUAUAGUUCACAUGGUCAUGCCAAAUAAUUGAGUACUAUUCAAGGAGCUCCUUGUUCAUGAGCUAACAUGGAUCGCGGACCCUAGUGUACUGCCAUGUCCAAAGGUUUCACAGGCAGCAUGUGACCUGUGCUGUCACUGCCAAUAUAAGAACACAUAAUGAAUGCCCAAACAAGCAAUCUAAUGAUCCAUGUUCGAGUUAUUGGGAAAAAUUCAUCGUAUGUUUACCAUGUUAUUUCUCUUUCGGAUUAGCAAGACAUCUUCCUACUGAUCAUGGUAUAUAGACAGCUUUGCUAUGUUUGAUAUGAUGAUGAUAAUGAUGCUUAAUUAGACUAAAAAGAUCAAUUUUGUUAUGCUUGUUGAGAAUGCUAUCUUUGUAUUCUUGCUUGGGUAUUUGGUUGGUGUUGGUUCUUAAAUAUUUUUUUAUCAUAGUAUCAGUGCAGUGCCAAGUGACACUGCCAUUGUGGUGCUUGUAACCAAGUGCCAAAUAGAAAUAUGUUUGAAUUUCCUGUAAAGUAACAUUGGCUAGCAAAAUUGCCAAAUGACUGUAACGAAAUUAUGGUGGGAAAUCUCUCAUCCCUCAUCACUGACAUGGUUUGCAGAAUGAAGACUGUCAGUUAUUUUUAUAGAUAAAGGCUUUCCAAAUGGAAUGGAACCAUGACAUAUGUGCUGGCAUUUGUGUUGACAUUAUAUGGGUUUCAGAUGUCUGCUGGUCUUCAGGUUUGACUCACAGUGGAUGAACUUCUGCAAACAAAGCAAUAAAGAUACUGCCCUGCAAAAUAUGAUGAUUUAUUGUCUUUCAUAUGACCAAGUAGUCAAGUUGGCAGAUGCAGAUAGAAGUCAAAGCCAGCAAAAUCCAUUAAAGAUGUUGAAGUUUUGUUUUAAAUGUUCAUCAAGAUGCAUGGAAUUCAGGGAACACAUGACAGGUAUACCUCAAAGAGGAGACAGUAACCACAUCAUGCAACUAGUUUAAUCCAGCAGUCAAAGCUUGUGGAAACAUUUGGAGAAAAUGGCAAAGUCUGAGCUAGAUCAAAUACAUCUUGAAAGAAUUACUAUUUUGUUUGUGUGGAAGAUGCAAGAAGUCAAAGUGAAAGGGACGCUCUGUCUGCCUACCACUCACUGAUUCUGUAGCUCAAAAAAAAUCUCCAUUUGGCUCUUCAGAGAGAGAUUGCAAGAUACAACCAUCACAUACCAAUGUCAUCAAAAUCUAAAAUUUCAGAUACAGACUGAAGGCACAUUACAAUUUGGACCAUCCAAAAAAUGAGUGAAAGCACCAAACAAAGUGGUCUUUUACUUUGUUUAAUGUUUCUAAGAGACUUUCAUAGUCAAUUCUGCAGGAGGGACUAUUAAAUAGUAGCCAAGCUCAAAUCCCUAGUUGCACUUGGUCAAACCAGUUCUUGUUACCAUUGGAAAAACUUUAUUGCUGCAUCUACUACUGUGAUCUGCAUUCAUGUGGACUUGUCACAUGGAACUGUCAUGGCAAGGAUAAAGAAACCAGUCUCAACAGUGUAUGAUUGCCAUGAAGUCAUGAAUAUGCUUGGAUUCUAAACUACUCAAGGAUCUGAGUGUGAUCCAACAGCUACCUCCCCCACAGUUUUUCUUCAUCCACUUGACACCUCAACCAUGGUUGGAUUCUUCAGUGUCAGGAGCUGAUGAAUAAUAAACAGCAGUAGUAAUCCAGAGGUGGGGGUGAAGAGAAACUACUGAGACAGAGGCUCGGGUAGAAAGCAGAUCACAUGGCUGUCAUGUCUUCUCUCAUGUGACACUUCUGAGAAAUUCACUGUCAGUGUCAGUGCCAGUGCCAGCUUCUUGUCUUCUUCCUUGUGCUUCACACAUCAACAUCCAGUGGCAGCAAAACAUAUCACAGCUGGAUAAAACAAAUUUUUGCAUGGAGACCAAAUGUCCCGUCUCUCCUUUUUGUUGCCUAAGCAGUCUUUCCAAGUAAUGGUUUGAAGGUGAAGUUGAAAAGAGAUGUUCAGCCUUUCACACACUUUGAAUUUCAUAUAUUCUUUUAAACUUAAGAUGAAAUUCUAUAUGAAAACAAAUACAUCUGUCACAUUUAAUGAUUUGAUGUGAACUUCCUCAA